CAAUAGCGUAUAUUUAAGUUGUUGCAGUUAAAAAGCUCGUAGUUGGAUUUCGGAUGGGAUUUGCCGGUCCGUCGUUACGAUGUGCACUGGCCAGUCCUAUCUUGUUGUCGGGGACUAGCUCCUUGGAUUCACUUCCUGGGACUAGGAGCUGACGAGGUUACUUUGAGUAAAUUAGAGUGUUCAAAGCAAGCCUACGCUCUGAAUACAUUAGCAUGGAAUAACACGAUAGGACUCUGGCUUAUCUUGUUGGUCUGUGAGACCAGAGUAAUGAUUAAGAGGGACAGUCGGGGACAUUCGUAUUUCAUUGUCAGAGGCGAGAUUCUUGGAUUUAUGAAAGACGAACUUCUGCGAAAGCAUUUGUCAAGGAUGUUUUCAUUAA
rnacentral:rRNA from 1 species